AUUGAACGCUGGCGGCAGGCUUAACACAUGCAAGUCGAGCGGUAACAGAGAGACGCUUGCUUCUCUGCUGACGAGCGGCGGACGGGCGAGUAAUGCCUAGGAAUCUGCCUAGUAGUGGGGGACAACUUGCCGAAAGGUAAGCUAAUACCGCAUACGUCCUACGGGAGAAAGGAGGGGACCUUCGGGCCUUUCGCUAUUAGAUGAGCCUAGGUCGGAUUAGUUAGUUGGUGAGGUAAUGGCUCACCAAGACCGCGAUCCGUAACUGGUCUGAGAGGAUGAUCAGUCACACUGGAACUGAGACACGGUCCAGACUCCUACGGGAGGCAGCAGUGGGGAAUAUUGGACAAUGGGGGGAACCCUGAUCCAGCCAUGCCGCGUGUGUGAAGAAGGUCUUAGGAUUGUAAAGCACUUUAAGUUGGGAGGAAGAGCAGUUAACUAAUAUUUGACUGUUUUGACGUUACCGACAGAAUAAGCACCGGCUAACUUCGUG
rnacentral:rRNA from 1 species